rnacentral:rRNA from 1 species
UACGAGAGGACCGGAUUGGACGAACCUCUGGUGUUCCGGUUGUCACGCCAGUGGCAUUGCCGGGUAGCUAUGUUCGGAAAGGAUAACCGCUGAAAGCAUAUAAGCGGGAAGCCUCUCCCAAGAUUAAAUCUCCCAGAGACUUUAUGUCUCCUAAAGAGUCGUCAUAGACUAUGACGUUGAUAGGCUAGAUGUGUAAGCGUUGUGAAGCGUUGAGCUAACUAGUACUAAUAACUCGUGAGGCUUGAUCAUGUAACCUUA